rnacentral:sRNA from 2 species
UUCGGGCUUCUGGAGAGGUGGCAGAGUGGCCGAAUGCACCGGUCUUGAAAACCGGCGUGCCGCAAGGUACCGGGGGUUCGAAUCCCCCCCUCUCCGCUUUAAAUCUAAAAUGGCUCGUAUCCUGAAAAAACAUGGGGGGCGAGC